rnacentral:rRNA from 1 species
AUACGGAGUGUCCAAGCGUUAUCCGGAUUCAUUGGGUUUAAAGGGUCCGCAGGCGGGAAAAUAAGUCAGUGGUGAAAGCCUACAGCUCAACUGUAGAACUGCCAUUGAUACUGUUUUUCUUGAGUAUAGAUGAAGUGGGAGGAAUAUAUCAUGUAGCGGUGAAAUGCAUAGAUAUGAUAUAGAACACCGAUUGCGAAGGCAGCUCACUAAACUAUUACUGACGCUCAGGGACGAAAGCGUGGGGAGCGAACAGGAUUAGAUACCCUAGUAGUCC